ensembl:lncRNA
AUGAAUCAUUAUACCGGCUUCGUUAGGCCUAAACUGAUGUCACUGCCAACUGAAGCUCCUCUGAUAAUACAAAACAUUACCAGUUAUCCUUCAAACUACACCUCCAGUCCUCCAGUGUCUGGAUGCUCCACGGCUGCUCAAUCCAGACUGAAUGUCUUCUCAGCAAGACAGAAAUACCCAUGCAGUCCGAGCGUUGCAGAGUCAAGGGAUCUAAAUCCUCACAGUGUCAACUCUAUUACUGAAGGGCCUCUGGUUCCAUUGUUAGCCAAAAAUCGCUCAGUAGUCACCAACCGUACCUCACAAAGCCAUGUGUCUGACAGUGGUAUUUCUGACCGUCAUUUCUUAUUUGAUAAACGAUGGAGAAAUGGAACUUACAUCACUAAUGAUGAUGUGCUGGUGAACCACAACUCUACAAAUCCACUCUCUCAGGAGUUCCAUGUUUCUCGCUCUCAUAAUUUAACCAGAUUUGCCCACCGCAAAGAACUCUGCCCGCGUGACCCAAGACCACUUAUUUGCGGGUCUGAUUAUCUGACCUCAUUUCCAUCAGUUCUGUUACCAGCCUCUACCCUGUCUAUCAGUGGACGACUCUGUAUAUCACAAAACUAUAAAAACGGAUUAAGGAUAAAAAACAGAGCGCACAAUCUCUUCUCUGAUGGUGCUAACAACAGAACCCAGUCGUACCCUGAUCCACAUCUGGGUGCCUCGGCCUCUUUUGUUCAGAGGCUCACAGAGAUUUCCUCUCUGGAAGCAGAGACAGUCCGGCAGGAGAGGAUGAAGAGACUCAAAAAGAUCAAUAGGCAGGACUCUUAAUCGGAGUUCAUUAGCCAAAGAGGAAACACUUGACUCCUGAAAUCACAACUGUGCCAAGAUGGAGUAAAUAAAGUCAAGGAGAAGAACUUGAGAG